AUUGACCGCUGGCGGCAUGCCUUACACAUGCAAGUCGAACGGUAACAGGUCUUCGGAUGCUGACGAGUGGCGAACGGGUGAGUAAUACAUCGGAACGUGCCUAGUAGUGGGGGAUAACUACUCGAAAGAGUGGCUAAUACCGCAUGAGAUCUACGGAUGAAAGCAGGGGAUCGCAAGACCUUGUGCUACUAGAGCGGCCGAUGGCAGAUUAGGUAGUUGGUGGGAUAAAAGCUUACCAAGCCGACGAUCUGUAGCUGGUCUGAGAGGACGAUCAGCCACACUGGGACUGAGACACGGCCCAGACUCCUACGGGAGGCAGCAGUGGAGAAUUUUGGACAAUGGGCGAAAGCCUGAUCCAGCAAUGCCGCGUGCAGGAUGAAGGCCUUCGGGUUGUAAACUGCUUUUGUACGGAACGAAAAGCCCCGGGUUAAUACCCUGGGGUCAUGACGGUACCGUAAGAAUAAGCACCGGCUAACUACGUGCCAGCCGCCGCAGUAA
rnacentral:rRNA from 1 species